UAAAGUAAUUUACUUUUAUUAGAA
rnacentral:tRNA from 1 species